UACGGAGGGUGCAAGCGUUAUCCGGAUUCACUGGGUUUAAAGGGUGCGUAGGUGGGCUUGUAAGUCAGUGGUGAAAUCUCCGUGCUUAACAUGGAAACUGCCAUUGAUACUAUGGGUCUUGAAUUAUCUGGAGGUUAGCGGAAUAUGUCAUGUAGCGGUGAAAUGCUUAGAUAUGACAUAGAACACCAAUUGCGAAGGCAGCUGGCUACAGGUACAUUGACACUGAGGCACGAAAGCGUGGGGAGCAAACAGG
rnacentral:rRNA from 1 species